GAUCCAAUAUAGGUCAAUCACACACAGCUGGCUCGGUUUCAGUGUUACUGCCGGUACUGCUCCACAAGAGCAACGUUACACUGUUUGAUCAGUUAGUGAGACAAUGACAGUGGAUAAUGACCUUAAUCGAUCUCUGAUAUUCUCACACAGCGAGGAAACAACAAACAAACAAACAAACAGCAGCCAUUGAACUACCAGCAGCUUCAUUAUCACAAUGUUAGUCUUUGUUGUUCGAGAGGCUGUUCGCUUGUCGCUUUCACUGAACGCUUAUCAACAGGUGGCGUUGAUUUCCUCUGACAAUAACAGCAAGAAAACAACAACAACAACAACGACUGUUUAAAAGGUUCAAGUAUCCGGAGCGACCGCGAACUUUCCGUCAUGGCGUCAGUUCGCCUGAGCAGCCCGGUGGAGAGUCUGUUCCCUGGUGGAGAGUCAUUGUGGACUAGAGAGGGAAUACUGGGAAUAUCUGCUUCAUGGAGACGUUUGGAGGACGAGAGGAAGAAGAAAAGAGGACAUAAGACGAAGAACUGGAGUUUGUUGUGAGUUAGAAGGAGGACUGCUGCUGAGGCUCUGUGGGAACUAUGGAAGAGUCUUCAGGUUGAUUAGAAAUAUCUGCAGCGCCAGUGGAGGACAUCAUCUCCUCUGGUUGAAGGCUGAUGUCCAGAGUUACAGGAGGACUGCUGUUGACUCGGUCUGCAGGAAACACACAAGAGUCUUCAAAAAUUAUCUGGACCUUCAGGCUCCUGUAACCCAAAUCCCAUCGCUCCCAUCCAGAGCCCCAGACUCUCACACACACUGUGGGAGCGGCUGAUGAAGUUGGGACCAGUGGACGUUUCCCACAAAGAGGGGG